GACGAACCGUGCGAACGUUGUUCGGAAUCACUGGGCUUAAAGGGCGCGUAGGCGGGUGUGCAAUUCUGUGGUGAAAGCCUCCAGCUUAACUGGAGAAGUGCCAUGGAUACUGCACAUCUUGAGGAGGGUAGGGGCAUCUGGAACGGUCGGUGGAGCGGUGAAAUGCGUUGAUAUCGACCGGAACUCCGGUGGCGAAGGCGAGGUGCUGGACCCUUUCUGACGCUGAGGCGCGAAAGCCAGGGGAGCAAACGGG
rnacentral:rRNA from 1 species